AAGGAUUUAAGUUAAAUAAACUAAUAGUUUUCAAAGCUAUAAUUAAAUAAAAUUUAAGCCUUA
rnacentral:tRNA from 1 species